CAAAGGCAGGAGGUGCAGGGAUGCUGUCCAACAAGCGACUGGCCCUUUUUGUCAAUGGAUUCAUAUCUCCUACCCCUACCAAACAAAGAGAUCGACAAAAAGUCCAUUCCUGAUGUUAGUAUAGAGUGCAAGAUAACACUUUAGUGAGGACCUGGGGUAGCAUUAGACCUUAAUUUUGGGUGCAGUAUCAAGUCGGGCUACUCAGGCAUAAAAAGGAGAAGAAAAUGAAGAGUUGGUAUCGCUGUGCCACACGUUGCAGAGUAGAGAACAUCUAUCACAGUGCACAGAUACUUCAGAUGCAAAAUGAGGACCUCUCUGUGCCAUACACUAUGGCGUAUUGUGCAUACAUAGUCAUUUUUUGCAAUUUAUCAAUCGUAAAAUUGAGACAGAAAUAAAGAGAAAAAAGGAGAAAACAGAAGAAGUGUACCAAGCUCUACUAGCAUUUGUUCUUAAACAACAUUGGAUGUAUUUUAAAAGUUACAAACACCCAAGGCUCUAGCUCUAGUGCAAAGAGGGAGAAGGCUUAAGGCUAGGAAUUAGUAUAUUCUUAUUAUAUGCCUCUAGUUUAGAUUUAUUUUGUGUAAUAGUAUAUGAUUAUUAAUUUUAAAAUUGCAUUCCAUUGUACUUACACUAUUUUGGUUGUUGUAAAUGUCCAAGUUGCAUUUUAGGCUCUAACUAUUUGUGUAUAAUGAUAUAUAUAUGUUGGUAGGGCCAAAACACUAGUGUAAGUAUAGGAGUGAUGUUUUAUACAUAUUAAAACGAUUUUUGAUACAAUGUAAUGGUAAUUGCU